AUUGAACGCUGGCGGCAGGCCUAACACAUGCAAGUCGAGCGGCAGCGGGAAGUAGCUUGCUACUUUGCCGGCGAGCGGCGGACAGGUGAGUAAUGUCUGGGAAACUGCCUGAUGGAGGGGGAUAACUACUGGAAACGGUAGCUAAUACCGCAUAAUGUCGCAAGACCAAAGAGGGGGACCUUCGGGCCUCUUGCCAUCAGAUGUGCCCAGAUGGGAUGAGCUAGUAGGUGGGGUAACGGCUCACCUAGGCGACGAUCCCUAGCUGGUCUGAGAGGAUGACCAGCCACACUGGAACUGAGACACGGUCCAGACUCCUACGGGAGGCAGCAGUGGGGAAUAUUGCACAAUGGGCGCAAGCCUGAUGCAGCCAUGCCGCGUGUAUGAAGAAGGCCUUCGGGUUGUAAAGUACUUUCAGCGGGGAGGAAGGUGUUGAGGUUAAUAACCUCAGCAAUUGACGUUACCCGCAGAAGAAGCACCGGCUAACUCCGUGCCAGCCGCCGCCGUAA
rnacentral:rRNA from 1 species